CUAAGAAUCCUCGAUCCUUGAUCCUCUAGUUGUUCUAAGUCAAUGCUGAAGGUAUCGAAACACCUUCCUCGAUUACAUUUUCUCAUCAACGAAUUUUCAGUCCCCCGCUGUUUCUUCCCCAACAGUGUCCACUUGUUUUUGCGUUUUGCUAACUUGUUCAAUUAUAUUCUGAUGUUAUCAGGACUGGUGACUGCAUUCCUCUUCAUCCAUCUUUGCACAAAAGUCAGUGAAGCCAUUCCUGGUACGUGUGUUACUUUUUGUGUGCUAUCAACGCUUCUUUAUCUUUCACCCUUUGUUUUGUAAUCUGGUUCUAUUGACUGAACCCUAAAAAACAUAAAAGCAAAACAGAAGAAAAAGGAAGAAAAGAAAAAAAAUGGGUAAGAUAAUUGCGACAUAAACUCAUUGCAGAGGCACCAAUAUUUGUCUCUCUUAGCUUAAUAUGACCGUAAAAUGGUAGUUGUGUGUAUAACCAUCUUCUUGUUGCUAGGGUAAUUUGUGACUUGCAGACGAUAGGGUGAGCUUGGAAAAAUAGCAAGUCUCUGCUCACAGGCAUUUAGAUGAUCCAGCCUAUUACAAUUGAUAGGAAAAAAAAUUGAUAUUUAUUAAUUGCAGAACACCUAAGAUCCUUUAAAGCAUACAAUUAUUACAUGUGAGUUAAUACAUAACAUUUUCAGAAGGGGAAACGACACAAAUAGUCUAUAACCUUUGACCCAACAUGUAAUGUUAUCAUUGGAUUUUUAAUUCGUUCAAUGCGAUCCUUGAAUAUUUCCUAAAUAUUCAAUAUAAUCCUCAAUUUUUUAGUUUUUUCAAUCUAAUCUCUCAACUUUCCAACAAAAUCAAAUCAGUCUUUUAGUACUAAUUAUAAGUUUUCAUUAUUACACUAUUCUCCCGUUUUUAAAAUAUUUCUUCUUUUCAAUCCUUCUCCUAAAUGAACAAAAAAUAUAUAUAAUAUUUUUAGUACUUUUUUGUACCCUUUUAGUCUUUAUAGAUAUUAUGAUAAUUUCAUUUAAGUAAAAUUUUAGCUUAUGAUCUUUAUAAUAGUAAAGGGAAACAUUACCAAUAACGAGAUGCCAGAACGAUUGACUAAAAAUGAUGUGUUUUUUCCUUGAAAGGUGGCUAAUAAUAUUUGAUCAUGGGCCUUCACCUUUGGUCCAAAUGUCUAUUACAUAAAAUUUCUUUAAUCGUCCUUUUACUAAGCAAAAGGUUUUACAAGAAAUAGACGAUAGAGAGAGAGAGAGAUGCUAACCAGACUUCCUCAAUGAACAAAUCAAGUGUAUCAUCUUUUAUGUUAUCCUGACUUGAUUGUAUUUUAUUAUGUCACGCGAAUUUGCACAUGACUCAUAGUCGAACUAAAUAGAGCUUAACUUGUUGCGGCUUUAUCUACCUUCUCGGAAUGAGUGAUGAUAAAAACAAAAUGUUAAAAAUUAUGAUAAAUGUAACUUUUAGACAGUCUAUGCUAUCCAUGAAUAGGGCCAAACAGAAUCUAGUAUGCUAAAACAAGACAUCAGGAAACGAUCGAGGGUUUUGUGGUGGCUUGUGCGAGCUUCAUCUUCACUGAUGAGUAAUGAUGCUUGAAAAAAUAAAAUGAAGAAGACCGAGGAUAUGACCCAUUCUACAAAAUUCUGUUGAUAAAAUCAGGUUUUUAGAACCUUUAGCUUUCAUUAAGUUUUAUGAAUGCAAAAGGCGCAUAUCCAUUUAUCUUAAGAUGACCAAUAGAAAGAUCUUAAAUUAGACAUUAAUAUGCUACAUUUAUUGAAAUACAGAACUUAAUAAUGAGGAGUUCGAGAUUGAUAACCCCCAAUCAUUAAUGGUGUGUAUGAUAAAAUUUCUAUUUACCUAUUUUUUUUGUUUCUCUGUCCCGGAAUAGGUUUGGAACAUAAAUCUGUUUGAGAACGCAAUUUAAUUUUUCUAUUUCUGGAAUAGAAAUCUAUUCCAGAAAUAGAUUUGAAGAAGAAAUCAGAAGAUAAAACUUUUAACUUUUCAAUUUCUGAAAUAAAAAUUGAGAAAUCAAUUUCUAGGCAAAAAUCAAUUUCUGUUCCAGAAAUUUUGUUAUGCGCACCCUAAAGAUGUCAUCAUGCUAUUUAAUUUUAGCUAGCGCACAUAAUCCGCUCUUUAGCUUGACUCUAUUUUCUCCUAAUAAACACAUACCUCUUUUUGAAAAUUUAUUGGUUAAUAACAUAUUUUUGAUUACCCGACCUUUUUUACUUCACAUAUUUAGUGUGGGAUUUUUUUUUCCCUUGUCUCACAUGUAUACUAGAUAUUCUCGCUCUCAUGUAACCAUUGCCAAUUGAUGUACGACCUACUCUUUUGAAAAUCAUUGAAUACUUCUUUUAUUCUAAAUGUUUGACGUGACAUUUUCUUGCACUCCAUACGUGCACUUAAUAGAGGAACGCUUCAACAUGUAUUUACCAAUGCCAAACACAAAAAAUAAAGUCUUCAGUGGGCCAUAGAUUGUUUUGUAUUGCUGACUCUCGAGCAUUUUUUUUUUUUUUUUUGUUGGGGGAGAGUGGGGGGGGGGGAGAUUUGGGGAAGGCGACCACACCAAACUACGAGCCAUCACUAGAUAUUUUCAAACCUAGAGUAACUAAUUAAUGAAAUUACUUAAUUGUGGACACUGGGCCAACCCCCCAAGGUUUUACGUCUAAAUAGCGAUUUGCGACAAGGCAUGAUGGUACUAUCGAGCACCGGAGGAUUGUGUGAUUUCCGAAGAGUGAUCUCUGGCAGUUCAUCGGUCAUUAAAAAAAAAGUAUAUGGCAAUGAUGAUAUAAUUACUUGGGCCCUCACGCUUAUGUUUUCACUUGGUCAUGCCUCAUGACUCCUUUCUUGAUGAAAGUUGUUUCCAAUCCAACAAGGGCUGGUGCCGCAUAUAUUUUCGAAGUUUUUUGCAAAAUUAUGGUUUUUUCCACAUUUGAUCACAAAAGAUUUGUCCAACUUUUAGGAACCAUAUACGAAUUUUCCUAUUUCUCUUCCUACAAAAAUGCUGUCAAAAAGUAUUUGAUAAUUCUAGAUGUACAUCAAUUCGGUAAUUUACAUUCAUUCACAUUGAUUUGUCAACUUUAAAAGUAAGUUACUCCAUUUAUUUUCAAAUAAAAAAGGAAUAUUUCACAAGGAAAAAUCAAAGUUUUUAUUUUCGGUUUUUGGAACGAAAAAGGUUCCUUAGAUGAAAAUUCUGAAUCUGUAAAUUUUGUAUAACAUCAAAGGGGGGAAAAUGAUCCCAAUUUUGAAAAACCACUUCCUCUUAAGUAAGGGAUAGAGAUGGCCUACUGUUAUUUUUUCCAUCCAAGUGAACCUACGUGCCGACUGACAUGGCAAACGCCGCUUACAUGGAAGUUGACGUGGCAAUAUUCAUUAUUAUGUAAGUGAAUUGAAUAAUAUUAAUCUCAAAAUAGAAAGAAUUUUGUCAAAGAGAAAAGAAAAACCAGAAAGAAGAAGCAGGCAGGGGGGAAGGGCGUGUGUCCGAUUGUGGUGGCCAUGCACGCCACCACGUUGCUCUCGGUGCUCUUUUCGACUUUGGUGGCCGGCGUCAUGAUCAGUUUCUCCAUAGAACAUAGUUCGUAAUAGGGGUUGAGAGAAGGAAAAUGACCCAACAGACUAUAAGAGUUUCACAAGAUGCAGAGGAGUUCGCUUUUAAUAUAACGUCGAUUCAUAAUCCUUUUUUUCCUUCAAUCCUCCCUCUUUUUCACUGUAUUUUGUUUUUGUAUCUGUAUUUCUUUGCGAAUUGAAAGGAAGAAAGAGAAGGAAAAUGUGACAUUUGCUUUUGCUUCUAUACUUCUUUUUCUUCUCUCUUUGAUAAAAAUCAUGUUACUUUAAGUUUAAAAUCAUCGAUUUAAUAUUUCUAUUUUUUUAACGUCACAUCAGCUGAUCAUGUAAAUUUAAAUUCAUCAAUUUGAUAAUGGCCAUGUUUGUUUGUCAAGAAAGACUACAUACUAUUUUUAGAUAUUUAGGAAGUGAAAUAAUUUUUUUCUUCUGAUGUAAAUACAAGAUUUAUUUGCUAGAUUUGGCCCGUCAAUUAUGUCAAAACUUCAAAUGACACUCCAACCCCACUGUGGCCAUUGGACCCCAACUCCCUUUGUAACAACGUGCUAUGGCCCUGUUUGGUUCUGCAUUCCCAAGGGGCUUUCAGCCCCGAAAGCCCAUUGGGAAAAAAUUUAGGUGUUUGGUUCAGCAUUUGGAGGUGUCCUUGACCAAAUGCUGGCCUUUGAAAUGUAAGUCCACAUCUACUAUUCAUCCGUUGAUUUUUUUUUUUUAAACCGAUCAUCUUCCCCACACCCUCAACCGCCGUUAAUCGGCGAUGGAGUUUCAUAAGAUUUUAUUUUUAUAUUUUAAAAAAAUAAUAAAAACUCUUUGCAAAUGUUGGGUUCGUCUUUUUUUUGUUGUCAUUUUUAUCUUUUGACAAUCAAUAGCCCAACUUUUUAUCAAUACACUAGAAUGAUCAUUAAUUAAUGAAGAUGAUUAAUACUACAAUAAUUAAAAAAAUUAUUCAAAGUUGAAAACAAACCUAAAAGAACCCUAGGCCAAAAGUUGAGCUUUGCAUUUAAUCUAUAAUCAAAAUCUUUUAAUAUAAUUUUUAAAUAAAUUUACUAAUAUAUAUCUUUUACAUUACUCUCAACAUGAAAAUGUAAAAGGUUAUAUAGUCAUUGUUUCUUUUUUGCAAUUUUAAAAAUACUAAAACUAAAAAACUUAAUUUGGUUACACUAAAGGGCUUUUUAAAUAUAUGUCCAAGUCCCGCAUAGCAUGGUCAAUUAAAAAAGAAUUGUCAUCUCUUUCAACCCAUUGAGAACGAAGAAAAAAAGAAAGAAAGAAGUUAAAGCCGUCACCGUUUGAGGUAUUGACUAGUUAAAAACAACUAGAUGUGGCGAAAUGGGUCUUAGACCCAUAUAUGGCCCAUUUAAACCAUAAAUGGGUCAUGUAUGGUUCACUUGUUUUUAAAGAAACUAGUUAAAUGGGCUUAAAAAUUGAAGGUUUAAAUAAAUGGGUCUUAAACGGGUUUGACUUAGAGCCCAUUCUCAACCAAAGCCUCACAAUCUCUCUCUUCCCUCUUUAACUUUAUAAAAGUAUAUUUUAUAAAAAUCGAAAUUAUAUAUAUUUUUUAUAUUUCUUUUCUUUUCUUUUUGUUUUCUUUUUUUCUUUCUUUCUUUUUCCUCCUUCCUUAGCCAGUGGCCGACACGGCGAUGACCGGCGAGCUUGAGCUUUGCGAAUUAGGUGAGACUCGAGCUCCCUAGCAUCGGACGAGCUCGAGCUAACCGAAUCCGGCGAGGCGAAGGCCUCACUAGAUGUCGGCAACACUUGAGCCUCGCCAGAUCUGGCAAGCCUUAAUCGUCGGUGUCGGGUGAGGCUUAAGCCUCACCGAUCUGGCAAGCCUUGAGCUUGCCGGUGUUGGGUGAGCCCAGCGAGCAUCCAGCUCGCCUGUGGCUGGUCACCAAUCGUCGUCAUGGCUGGCGACUGGCUAAAGAAAAAGAAAAAAGAAAGAAAAAGGAAAAAUUAUAUUCUUUAAAAAUAAAAAUAAUUAAAAAUUCGAUUUUUAAAAAAUAUAUAAAAAUUAUCCAUUAAAUUGAUAUUGCAUAAAAAUAUUUUAGCAAUAAUUUUUUUUUAAAAUCAUAAAAAAAAAGCUUUCUUAGGUUUAGUUAAAUGGGUCGAGUCAAGUAUAGAUAAAAAAAUUUGCACUUCGAUAAAUUGAUCGUAAAUAGGUUAAAUUGUUUGAUUUGGGUCGAACCAUUUAUGACCCGAUCCAAACUUGACUGGAUCCACCCAUUUAACAGGUCUAGAAACAACCAACUCCAUUUGAGCUGGGGUUGGAGCAUGUCUUUAGGGAGAAAAAGAUACUUGGUGAAAUCUGUUCGUCUUUGUCAUUUCCCUCUAAUGUCACACACUAUUUCUCAACUACUCUAUUUCUUAAUUGCAAGUUGUGUAUUUUUGGUUGCCUCGUUUGGUUUGUCUUUGUUCGAUGGCCAUUUGCAAAUAUUUAUCUGGGCAAGUUGGAUAGAACCACGUGAUGAUUUUUGUCCUCAUCACUUCCCCCCGACUAUUUAUACGUAUCUCAAUUAUAAUUUUCUUAAUUGCAAUUUUUUUGUUGAUGAAUGCUGAACAUGAGUAUCUGUGAUGCAUGUGUGAGAGAGAGAGAGAACAUUGUAAAGAGGGCCUCGCGUUGUCCUAUUACUAUUAAGAUGAAUGGAAUAGUUAAACUAAAAAAUGAACAAUCUAGGAAAAGUACUUUUUAUGGACCAAACUUACAAACUUUAAAGUAUUACAGACUUUAAUUCAUCAUAAUUUAAAAAGAUAAUGGGAGAAGCCUGAUAGUGAAAACCAAAAGGUAUGAUUAGCUAACUACUAAUUGAUUUUCACACAUUGAAGGAUAUUUUGGUCAAUUAAUAAUAAACAUAAAAUGUGAAGAGAUAAGAUGAGAGAGAAAAAAGUAGGAUGAACUGUGAUGGACCUCAUUUUUUUUUUAUCAUAAAUUAAUAUUUCGGUCAAUUGAUAAUAAAAAAAUGUGUAUCAAAUUAAAGAGAAUGCGUCCGAAAUACCGCCGCAUUAUUUAUUUGUUUUGUUUAGUACAAAGUAAUAAUAUCUAAACUUUUAUUCGAUACAAUUUUGUCUAUAAUUUAGAAUGUCCCGCAUUAAGAGGUAGCCAAUUUUAAAAAAUUCUCUUUUAAUUAAUGGGGGACAUGCCAUUUGCGGUGCGCUAAUUUUUUUUUGUAAUCCCUCAUAUAGAAAAUACUAAAUGGUCCUGAACAUCCACGUCAGCCACGUUUCAUCUCUUUGAAACGCUCACCAAAACCAAGCUCAUCGUCUUCAUUAAACAUCAACCAAGGGGGAAGAGAAGAGACAAAACCCUGAAUCACCCACUCCCAAACCCUCCCUUCGUCGCCUUCCCACUCCUUCUCGUCCUCCUCCUCCUUCGACUUCGAGUCCACCAUCUCUCUCUCCCCCCGCUCCUCCUCCACCCUCUGCAUCGCCGACGAGCUCUUCUACAAGGGCCAGCGCCUACCCCUCCAGCUCUCCCCCCGCCUCUUCAUGGUCUGUCUCUUCCUCGCCUCCUCUUCCACCUCCAACUCCGCCACCACCUCCUCCCGAGACUCCUCCGGCAGCUCCACCGCCUUCUCCGAUCAGACCUGGCUGAAGGACGCCGACAAUCCAGAUCUGGAUCUGGAGAACUCCAGAUACGGAGAGCAGCCAAUCGCCGGGCUCGGCUGCCGGUUGUUGGGGCUGGGACAGGUGGCGAAGGUCCCCAAUUUCUUGUUCGCCAUUAAUGGAGUUUCGAUAUUGGACGAUAGAAUAGAUGGGACAGAAAUAUGAAACGUGGGCCUACUCGGUCACGGGAUGAGGUCCAGGAGCACCCAAUAUUUUCUAUUCAAAUCCUGAUAGUGGCUGUUACAAACAUACAAACACGUCCCAGCCGUCAAAUGUUAUUUGUUCACUAUUUUUAAAAAAAUAACAAAUUGCUUUCCUGAAAAAUCGUUAAAAAGAAAAAAAAAACGUUUUAAGCUUUAAAUUAUUGAGAGAUGGUUCUAAACAAUUCUAACCAUCAAUACUUAAAAGAAUCGACAAUAUGCAUGUUGUAUUGUUUCUCCUCAUGCUUUGGAUUCAAAACGGAACACGGUUUAGCUUUCUCUCAGAAACACUCAGAGAGCGUGAAAUUGUGAUGAUGACUGCAAAAUUUGUUGGAGCCCUCGAAGAGUCAUCCCCAUUUUCAAGAAACAUAAGACAAAGAAAACACGGACAACAGAAAAUAAUAAAUGAAAGAAAUUUAGGACACUACUGCACGCGGUUGAUCAGGAACGUGUUGUUCGUUUCUCCUCGUAAGAAUAUCUGCAAAUCGUCCACGUAGACCAGUAACGUGUUAUUUGGGUGCACCGAGUGCAAUAAUUGUACGUUUUUUUUUUUUUUUGCAUGCACUGUGCUGCUUCUCUCUCUCUCUCUCUCUCUCUCUCUCGACGUUGGUUUUGUUUCGUUGUUCACAUUGUUUUAUCACUAUGCUCUUCCUUUCUUUUUAUACAUCGCGAGUGAUUACUUCUGUUCUCUGUCCCGUUUCCUUGGCACAG
rnacentral:lncRNA from 1 species